rnacentral:misc_RNA from 1 species
UGUGUGGUAUAGGUACAUUAAUAAAUUGGUCAUAACAAGUUUAAAUAAAUUAAAAUUAAACAGGCAAAAUGUUAACCUGAUAAAAUAAACAGGUUAUUAUGUGUUUAAUCAGGUUAAGCAGAUCAACCCUAUUAAACCUCUUUUUUAGCGUGUCCUAAACAGUAGAUGUUUAUGACCCAAACCCGUUUAUGCUAAACCCAAACUUACUUAACUUCAUACCGAGUCAAGCCGUGUAAAAGGAUCAUAUUAGGACCGGUAAUUUGUAAUAUGAGUCAUUUACAUGGCAUGACUUAAUACGAAAUUCAGUGAGUUUGGGUUUCAACAGUCUUUUUUUAGUGUGUCCUAAAUGGGUUGACCCGAUUAUGCUAAAUCUAAACUCACCUAACUUUGUAUUGAGCCAUAUCGUGUAAACGGGUUGUAUCACAAAUUGCUAGCCCUAAUACGACCCAUUUAUAUGGCACGACUUAACA